rnacentral:rRNA from 1 species
GAUCUUGUGAGAGGUGGUGCAUGGCCGUUCUUAGUUCGUGUAGUGAUAUGUCUGCCUAAUCGCGUCACGAUAACCUAUUGGUCGACAACCCAAUUAUCACAACUGCAGCAUAACUCCCCUUGGGUGGGCGAGGCUCUGUGUAGGAUAGACCUCUGAACAGUACGCAACGAACGCGAUCGUAAUCCCUUGUUGAGUGGCCAUCCUGUAAGCUGCUGGAUUAGAACCCAGUGGUAUUAUCUCACCACAAUUUUCUGGUGAAUGGGCCAGUUUGAAA